UCCGGCGAACUCGGACAUUUAAUUCGGUGAUCUAGUCUUACAUGGACUUUUUGAGAGAUUCCCGAGACCCCCAAUACGAAAAGACGGGACGAUAUCACAGCCCGCGCAUUACCGUUAUGUAGUCAUUUAGUUUCUUGUAAUGACUCGAUGAGUUCUUCAAAGUAACCAUGGAUGCUUUUAAUUUAAUGGUCAUGAUUACCACCUGCACCGCGCUUAUAUGUUUGCCCAACGAAGAAUAAAAAAAAACUUCCUGUUGGAAUGUUGGGACUCUCGGAAUCGAUCUCAGGCCGUAAAAUCGGGACAGAUGAACCAGUUUGAUCGAUAAAUGUGCAAUAUUCUUCACAAGCGUUCAUUUCUUCAAACAAAAUGGCAAAGAGAGAAGACAAUGACCAUGAUUUCGGGAUAUCCGUUCCACCUUUAGUAGACUACUUAAAGACCAUUUUAAGGGAAUAUAGUGACGGCCAGAUCAUAAAGG